rnacentral:rRNA from 2 species
UGGGGAAUAUUGCACAAUGGAGGGAACUCUGAUGCAGCGACGCCGCGUGAACGAAGAAGGCUUUCGAGUCGUAAAGUUCUUUUAUAUGGGAAGAUAAUGACGGUACCAUAAGAAAAAGCCCCGGCUAACUACGUGCCAGCAGCCGCGGUAAUACGUAGGGGGCUAGCGUUGUCCGGAAUCACUGGGCGUAAAGGGUUCGCAGGCGGAAAUGCAAGUCAGGUGUAAAAGGCAGUAGCUUAACUACUGUAAGCAUUUGAAACUGCAUAUCUUGAGAAGAGUAGAGGUAAGUGGAAUUUUUAGUGUAGCGGUGAAAUGCGUAGAUAUUAAAAAGAAUACCGGUGGCGCAGGCGACUUACUGGGCUCAUUCUGACGCUGAGGAACGAAAGCGUGGGUAGCAAACAGG